rnacentral:rRNA from 1 species
AAGCAGGGGAUCGCAAGACCUUGCGCUUUUGGAGUGGCCGAUGCCUGAUUAGCUAGUUGGUGGGGUAAGGGCCUACCAAGGCGACGAUCAGUAGUUGGUCUGAGAGGACGACCAGCCACACUGGGACUGAGACACGGCCCAGACUCCUACGGGAGGCAGCAGUGGGGAAUUUUGGACAAUGGGCGAAAGCCUGAUCCAGCAAUGCCGCGUGAGUGAAGAAGGCCUUCGGGUUGUAAAGCUCUUUCAGUCGAGAAGAAAAGGUCGCGACUAAUAAUCGCGACUCAUGACGGUAUCGACAGAAGAAGCACCGGCUAACUACGUGCCAGCAGCCGCGGUAAUACGUAGGGUGCGAGCGUUAAUCGGAAUUACUGGGCGUAAAGGGUGCGCAGGCGGCUUUGUAAGUCAGAUGUGAAAUCCCCGGGCUUAACCUGGAAUUGCGUUUGAAACUACAAAGCUUAGA